UGGGGAAUUUUGGACAAUGGGCGCAAGCCUGAUCCAGCCAUGCCGCGUGAGUGAAGAAGGCCUUCGGGUUGUAAAGCUCUUUCGGACGGGAAGACAUGGCGGGCUCUAACAUAGCCUGUCGAUGACGGUACCGUAAGAAGAAGCACCGGCUAACUAAGUGCCAGCAGCCGCGGUAAUACGUAGGGUGCGAGCGGUAAUCGGAAUUACUGGGCGUAAAGCGUGCGCAGGCGGGUUUGUAAGACAGAUGUGAAAUCCCCGGGCUUAACCUUGGAACUGCGUUUGUGACUUGAAGGCUGGAGUACGGCAGAGGGGGGUGGAAUUC
rnacentral:rRNA from 1 species